rnacentral:rRNA from 1 species
UGAGGAAUAUUGGUCAAUGGGCGAGAGCCUGAACCAGCCAAGUAGCGUGAAGGAUGACUGCCCUAUGGGUUGUAAACUUCUUUUAUAAAGGAAUAAAGUCGGGUAUGGAUACCCGUUUGCAUGUACUUUAUGAAUAAGGAUCGGCUAACUCCGUGCCAGCAGCCGCGGUAAUAAGGAGGAUCCGAGCGUUAUCCGGAUUUAUUGGGUUUAAAGGGAGCGUAGAUGGAUGUUUAAGUCAGUUGUGAAAGUUGGCGGCUCAACCGUAAAAUUGCAGUUGAUACUGGAUAUCUUGAGUGCAGUUGAGGCAGGCGGAAUUCGUGGUGUAGCGGUGAAAUGCUUAGAUAUCACGAAGAACUCCGAUUGCGAAGGCAGCCUGCUAAGCUGCAACUGACAUUGAGGCUCGAAAGUGUGGGUAUCAAACA